CGGGUGUGUAAGCGAAGCGAUGCGUUGGGCUAACCGGUACUAAUGAACCGUUAGGCUUAAGCUUACAACGCCGAAG
rnacentral:rRNA from 1 species